rnacentral:lncRNA from 10 species
AUGCAACCGGGAGCGGCUUUAGGCCUCCUUUUCUUUUGCAUUUCUUCUCCGCGUAUUUCCCCUCCUCUCAGCCCCUUCUUACCGCCGAACUCCUUCUUUAUCACCAUCUAUGCCCUCCCCAUCCCCCUCAGCCUCUUCGGAGUCGUGGAGUGGUGAAACAAAAGACUUCUUCGUUUUUUCUUUUUUUUUUUUUUUUGAGACAGAGUCUUGCUCUGUCGCCCAAGCUGGAGUGCAGUUGCGCGAUCUCGGUUCACUGCAACCUCCGCCUCCCGGGUUCAAGCAAUUCUCCUGCCUCAGCCUCCCGAGUAGCUGGGAUUACAGGGUUGCACCAUGAUGGUGCAUGCCUGGCUAUUUUUUGUAUUUUUAAUAGAGACGGGCGUUUCACCAUGUUGGCCAAGCUGGUCUCGAACUCCUGACCUCAUGAUCCGCCCACCUUGGCCCUCCAAAGUGCUGGGGUUACAGGCGUGAGCCACCGCGCCUGGCCAAGAUUUACUUUUUUCUAAAUGCUAUGCUAUUUGGUAUCGGUCAUGGGGAAUGGAACAGGGGAAGGUGAAAUUUAGUGAAAGCACAGGCUCGGCCUUCCUGGCACCUUCUGCCGCUCAGACUCCUCCCUCAUUUCUCCAAACUCCUUCCUUUAGCUUAGCAUCCUCCUAAGACUCCUCCCUUCCCCAAGCAUCCUCCUGCUAAGACAACUCCCCUUUCCUCAGCAUCCUCCCACCUCUCUGAUUCCUUCUCCCAUCUCAGAGGCCUUUUUUC